UACAUAUUUUGUUUUUCUUCCUUACUGCAUGCCUUAUAUUGUUUAAUUAACUGUUUACAUCUUAGUCCAUUACUUUACAUACUGUAAAGUCUGAUAUUUUUAGGGGUUUUUUUUGCCAUAUCCACAAACUGCCCAUAUACUUGCAAAUAUCUGGUUAUGCUUUAUAAUAAGUAUUUUACCACAUUUACCCAUAAAUAAGACGAGCCAUGUGCAAGACAGGUUCCUUUAAUUACGUCAAAAUCUGCAUAUUUUGAAGACUCUUUUAUUAAUACAUUGACUCACUUACUAGACAGGGUAAAACAUUAGAUCAAAAUUUGAAUGAGAAAACACAAGUUUUAUAGGUGAGUAAAUACAGUAUUUCUCAUUGUGUGAAACCAAUAGCAGACUUUUAGCCUCACAAAAGUAUCAGACUUUACAGUAAAUACCCCGUUUUGAACAUAUCGAACCCACAACAGACACUGGCUUAUAUGUGUGUAAUAUUGAAAAUAUUCAGAAAUGUUCAUAACAUUAAAAUUUCUGUUGCCUAACUUCAGUACAUCUGAAGCUGAAAAAUGUUUCUUUAAGUUUUCAAUAAGAUCAAUUUUUGAAUGAACCAGUUUCAUUAAGAUUAGGAUAGUGGUAAUAUUUGCCAAUGUCUUGCAUGUGUUAUAAAUACCAAUUCUGUUGACAAAUGUACCAGUAGUAUUCUAAAGUAACAAAUUUAUUUUCUCUGUUACCUAGGCUCAUAUUCAUCAACAAUACAAUUCUUACAUCAGACUGAAAAAAAAAUGGAUAGAUUAAACGAGACUAACCUUCAUAGAAGGGAUGUUGAAGUUUGAUCGAGAUUUUAUCAACUGUUAACAUCCUUGGGAGGCAUUAUGGUUAUGCAAAGUGCCUUGAAAACUGAGUUUUACACAAGAGGAGGGAAAAAAGAAAUUGUUCUAUGGUUCCUCAACUAAAUUUAAGGCUUUGAAUAAAUGAAAAGUUGAUAAAAAUGGGCUGUCACUGCAAAAUAAUAUACCAAGAAUUUACCAAAAGAAAAGAUUAGACAUGCUAUUUAUUUAUCCAAGAAUCUAUAAUGCAAUUAUUGUAUAUAUAUCAAGGCAUGAUAUUAGAUCAUGUAUGUUAAUGAGAAAAGAUUAUGUAUAUGUAUGCAAUAAGAUUAUACACUUAUUCAAUGACAAUGAUGUGAUUUAACCUUUAGCUUGCUAGUGGCAAGUGGUUGUGCCUUUGCGACCAGUGCAGACCAAGAUCAGCCUGCACAUCUGUGCAGACUGAUCAUGAUCUGCACUGUUCGCUAUUCAGUCAGUAAAGUUUCUGAGUAAACACCCCUUUGAAUAAUAAAUGGUAUUACCCAAACUGAAUGAUGGACCAGUCCAUUUUAGAAAUUUUGCAAGCUAAAGGUUAAGUUGCUAUUGAGGGUGUGCCAAUAACAACUUCAGGCAUGCCAUUGCAGUUUCCAAUGAGUUGGUUAUUAUAUUUCCUAAGCCUAACUUAUGUUUAUUGAUACAUGUCACUUGGCAUUCUAAUCAGAGGUUAAUAUAUAUAGUGGGUAUGCCUUCUGGUCAUAAUUGCACACUCCUGGUGCAGUAAUGGCCCUAUGGCCAUGGUGAAACUAGAUGUGCCAUUAUAGAUAAGAAGGCACACCUCAGCAAUUUAUUGACCUUUUAUCAUAUACACUGCUAUAUGACAGUCACAUUGGAAUGCACGGACAUUCCACCAGGGCCUAGAAGUAUGCCAGUAACAUGUUAUUUGUUCGGUGUACAAAGUCAACUGGUAUUUUUAUACCUGUAAUUUUUAAACAUAAAAUUGUUUCUAUUUGUAGUAAUUUAUAUAAUUGCCAUUUAUUGGACAUUUGUAUUACCAGAUUCUGAAGUUAUUACUAUUUAUCAGCAUUAGGUAUAUUAUUAGGAAAUAGAUUUUAAACAGAAGCACAGUAUACAAUAUGUAUUAACCAUUGUAAAAACUUUUAUUUCUGAUAUGACCUUAGUAACCUCUUAUGUGAAUCAAUGUACUGACCCUGCCUUCAUUUCUGACAAUUAAAACAACUAAAUUUCUUUUUUAUAAUUUAUUUUACAGUCAACAGAGGUAGUAAACCGUACACCACUGCAUUGUUUGUGGUUUUGUCACAUUUUUCUCUUUUCUGACCUAAAAAAAAAAGGACUUUGUCAAAACCGCUCACGAACAAAAUUUCCUGUGUUGCUUUCAAUGUAGGUCCGAACUGCCAAGGUCAAGGUAACAGGCAGGUCUGUACUUCUAAGAUCAAGGUCACAGGCAAUGUCAAUUAACUGUACCCAUGCUCAUUCAUAAUUAAAUAAUGAUAACAUAUUUCAUAUCUCAGGCAUAAAUUUCAAAUCAUAAUAUAUUAACAUUACAGAAAAUUCAAUGGAUCAUGGAUGCCUUUGCCUAAGUUCUAUGUACCUAGAGAGGUUUUAAUAUCCUUGAAUGCACAAAAUUCAUACUGAGGGGAUUGUGAAUUAGGUUGGUUGAGGUUACAAACUUGUAUAGGUAAAAGUACAUGUAAGAUUUCUUUCUUUUAUUUCAGUAAGCAUCUGAGAUUUCAAGAUUCAGACCACAGUACUAACUGCUAGCUGUUUACAAAAUUUAACGUUACAUGUUUCAAUGGACUUGUAAAAACAGGCUUACAUGUUUCAAAUGUGUACAUUUACCUGUAUCAAGCAAUUGAUUGAUAUCAGACACUUUUAGCAAAUGCUAAUUGUUAAGUUUUAUAAGUGAGUUCUUGUAUGAAGCCAAAAUGUCUUUAUUAUUAUGCCUAAUUCCUAUACAGUCAGUGAGAUUUAGCCCGAAACUAUUUCACAAAUUGAAAUGAAGUGGUUUUACUGAAUACCAAGCACUACUAUUCUCAGGCUGUUAUUCUAUAUCUAUUAGCUGUUUUCCAUCUUUUCUAAACAAUUUCAGGCUGAGGAUUUCAAAUACUGACAGUACUAAUUACCUUGAUUAUAUCGAGUAAUUUUCUCAAAGCAAUUAUUAAUUUUUUAGUUUAUUAUUUUAAAUUUAGUAUUAUUAUAGUAUAUAAAACUUUUUACAGUUGUUUCAGCUGAAAGGUUGUAUCUGCCUAUUUAAUACAAUCCUUUAUACUAUAAUAUUUGUGUUACCAACAUGACAUCAUAUGCAUUCAAUACAAAUGGCAGAAACAGCCUUUAUUUCAGUAGAAAUUUCUCAGUCUGACAAAAACAUUGAUUGUAAAUGCUAGACACAACCUUUUAUCAGUAAUUAAAUUCCAUUUCACUUCAAUAAACAAGGACAUUACAUAUAUUAUUUUAAGUUAAGGUUAUUGCCAUUUGGAUGUAGUUUCUGAAAUUCAAAAAAGUUAAGUGAUGCCUGUUACGAUCUUUUAUUUCUGGGAUGUCAUUUUGUGUGGCACUUCAAGUUGAUGUCAUGAAAAUAUGUCUAUUCAAACAUGCCAGGUGUAUGACAGAUACUUACAGCCAGGUUUCAAUGGUGCCCUGUUUACUUAGUAGAUAAUUGUUCCAAAUGUAAGAUAAUAGCUGUUAGCUUAAUAAUAUGUAAUUUAAUAAUAAAUAACUGGUUCGGAAUAUGUACAAUUUUACCUUUAGUCAUGUAUAUAUUUUCAUCAGCCUUGCAUUUUUAUGCCCCCGAAGGGAGGCAUAUAGUUUUUGAACUGUCUGUCCGUCUGUCAGUCUGUCGGUCUGUCAGCUGGUCAGUCUGUCCGCAAUUUUCGUGUCCGGUCCAUAUCUUUGUCAUUGAUGGUUGGAUUUUCAAAUAACUUGGCAUAAAUGUGUACCACAGUAAGACGACGUGUCGCGCACAAGACCCAGGUCCGUAGCUCAAAGGUCAAGGUCACACUUAGACGUUAAAGGUCAUUUUUCAUGAUAGUGCAUUCGUGUCCGGUCCAUAUCUUUGUCAUCCAUGGAUGGAUUUUCAAAUAACUUGGCAUGAAUGUGUACCACAGUAAGACGACGUGUCGUGUGCAAGACCCAGGUCCAUAGCUCAAAGGUCAAGGUUACACUUAGACGUUAAAGGUCAUUUUUCAUGAUAGUGCAUUCGUGUCCGGUCCAUAACUUUGUCAUCCAUGGAUGGAUUUUCAAAUAACUUGGCAUGAAUGUGUACCACAGUAAGACGACAUGUCAUGCGCAAGACCCAGGUCUGUAGCUCAAAGGUCAAGGUCACACUAAGACGUUAAAGGUCAUAUUUCAUGAUAGUGCAUUGAUGGGCAUGUCCGGUCCAUAUCUUUGUCAUUCAUGCAUGGAUUUUAAAAUUAUUGGGCAUGAAUGUGACCCACAGUAAGACAACAUGUCGCGCGCAAGACCCAGGUCCGUAGGUCAAAGGUCCUAAACUCUAACAUCGGCCAUAACUAUUCAUUCAAAGUGCCAUCGAGGGCAUGUGUCAUCCUAUGGAGACAGCUCUUGUUUUAAGUUU